rnacentral:rRNA from 1 species
UGAAUACGAGACGCUAAGGCGUCGAAGUAGUGUAUGUCAUACUUCCAAGAAAAGCUUGCACUGUCAUAGAUAAAAACGCCUGUACCAUAACCGACACAGGUGGGUAGGUAGAGUAUACUAAGGGGCGCGAGAUAACUCUCUCUAAGGAACUCGGCAAAAUAACUCCGUAACUUCGGGAGAAGGAGUGCCUUAUUCGUAAGGUUGCAAUAACAAGAUCCAAGCAACUGUUUAUCAAAAACACAGGUCUCCGCUAAGUCGUAAGACGAUGUAUGGGGGCUGACGCCUGCCCAGUGCCAGAAGGUUAAAGAAGUUGGUUAGCAAUUGCGAAGCUGAUAACUGAAGCCCUGGUGAACGGCGGCCGUAACUAUAACGGUCCUAAGGUAGCGAAAUUCCUUGUCGGGUAAGUUCCGACCCGCACGAAAGGCGUAAUGAUUUGGAUACUGUCUCGGAGAGGGGCUCGGUGAAAUAGACUUGUCUGUGAAGAUGCGGACUACCUGCACCAGGACAGAAAGACCCUAUGAAGCUUUACUGUAACUUGAAAUUGAAAUUGGACUUUAUUCGCGCAGUAUAGGUGGGAGGCGUUGAUCAUAAUCUUGUGGGAUUAUUGGAGCCAUCAGUGAGAUACCACUCUUGUAAUCUUAGAUUUCUAACUUUGAAUCAUUAUCUGGUCAAAGAACAGUUUCAGGCGGGCAGUUUGACUGGGGCGGUCGCCUCCUAAACGGUAACGGAGGCGUACAAAGGUUUCCUCUGAACGGUUAGAAAUCGUAUCUAGAGUGUAAAGGCAUAAGGAAGCUUGACUGUGAGACCUACAAGUCGAGCAGGGACGAAAGUCGGUCUUAGUGAUCUGACGGUACUGAGUGGAAAGGCCGUCACUCAACGGAUAAAAGUUACUCUAGGAUAACAGGCUGAUCUCCCCCAAGAGUUCACAUCGACGGGGAGGUUUGGCACCUCGAUGUCGGCUCAUCGCAUCCUGGGGCGGUAGUACGUCCCAAGGGUUGGGCUGUUCGCCCAUGAAAGCGGUACGCGAGCUGGGUUCAGAACGUCGUGAGACAGUUCGGUCCAUAUCCGGUGUAGGCGUUAGAAUAUUGAGAGGAGCCUUCUUUAAUACGAGAGGACCGAGAAGGACAUACCUCUGGUGUACCAGUUAUCGUGCCAACGGUAAACGCUGGGUAGCUAUGUAUGGAGUGGAUAACCGCUGAAAGCAUCUAAGUGGGAAGCCCACCUCAAGAUAAGUA